GACGAACGCUGGCGGCGUGCUUAACACAUGCAAGUCGAACGGAAAGGCCCUGCUUUUGUGGGGUGCUCGAGUGGCGAACGGGUGAGUAACACGUGAGUAACCUGCCCUUGACUUUGGGAUAACUUCAGGAAACUGGGGCUAAUACCGGAUAGGAGCUCCUGCUGCAUGGUGGGGGUUGGAAAGUUUCGGCGGUUGGGGAUGGGCUCGCGGCUUAUCAGCUUGUUGGUGAGGUAGUGGCUUACCAAGGCUUUGACGGGUAGCCGGCCUGAGAGGGUGACCGGCCACAAUGGGACUGAGAUACGGCCCAGACUCCAACGGGAGGCAGCAGUGGGGAAUAUUGCACAGUGGGCGGAAGCCUGAUGCAGCAACGCCGCGUGCGGGAUGACGGCCUUCGGGUUGUAAACCGCUUUCGCCUGUGACGAAGCGUGAGUGACGGUAAUGGGUAAAGAAGCACCGGCUAACUACGUG
rnacentral:rRNA from 1 species